AUUGAACGCUGGCGGCAGGCCUAACACAUGCAAGUCGAACGGUAACAGGAAGCAGCUUGCUGCUUUUCUGACGAGUGGCGGACGGGUGAGUAAUGUCUGGGAAACUGCCUGAUGGAGGGGGAUAACUACUGGAAACGGUAGCUGAUACCGCAUAACGUCGCAAGACCAAAGAGGGGGACCUUCGGGCCUCUUGCCAUCGGAUGUGCCCAGAUGGGAUUAGCUUGUUGGUGGGGUAACGGCUCACCAAGGCGACGAUCCCUAGCUGGUCUGAGAGGAUGACCAGCCACACUGGAACUGAGACACGGUCCAGACUCCUACGGGAGGCAGCAGUGGGGAAUAUUGCACAAUGGGCGCAAGCCUGAUGCAGCCAUGCCGCGUGUAUGAAGAAGGCCUUCGGGUUGUAAAGUACUUUCAGCGGGGAGGAAGGGAGUAAAGUUAAUACCUUGACUCAUUGACGUUACCCGCAGAAGAAGCACCGGCUAACUCCGUG
rnacentral:rRNA from 1 species